AUCACAACAUACCGAAAGUGAGCAUGCACAGGAGCAACUGAAAUUACUGACUGAAAACACAGAGAAUUCUCCUGUUCUGGAAUUCAGACACCUGGACACCUACCAUAGCAACCACACACCAGCAACGUUCAAAAGGCUUUGUGGCCAGAUGAACAACAUCUUCAAAUACUUCUGGUUUACGUUACUUGUUCUGGAUCACAAUGGUCACUGUCUACAGCCAAAUACAUUCUCAGUUACCCAGAAAGCAGAUGUGAAGCAUAUGCAGAUAUACUGCAUGUCAGACCUAAACCAUACCCCACUGUGCAGCUGAACUGCACCUGUGCAGCAAGUGAACUUAUCCUGCCUGCUGUGCGAUAACACGGCAAUGGGUCCAACUCGCUGCACGUGCAAGGUCCAUGGCCAUGGGAAUGUCUAUACCUUGCAUGAGAACAAGGUCCAAAGUACUGAAAGAAGUUUGUUUGACCAAGGGAUUCUAAUGCCCAGGUGUGAGACAUCCUGCCUGUAGCACUUACUUGGACGUGAAGGUCCUUCCCAAGAAGAAAGUCACUACUGUUAAGGGAAAAAUUAUUCAGGACAAGGUCUAGGAAGCACUAAAAGCUAAUCUUACUACUGCAGUUUCUCUUCUGAUUUGUCACUUUCAGGAAUCACUUGGUUAACAGUACUGUGAUAAGUGACUUUUUGGCUGGUUUGGGUUCUUUUUCAAAAAAAAGCUGAUUAUCUCACAGAAGAUUCCACCUGCUGAAACUCACAUGAAACAUGUGAAGUGAUGGAAUUACAAACAUGAUGCUAUUACAAUGGUUUUUCCUCUCCUAGGCUUAUGUCUUAUCACAACCCACUGCAGAUUUAGGCUAUGUCACUUUCACUUUUGAUCUCUUUCCUGCCCCUUCACACACUAUAUAUACAGUUUCGCUUUAGCUUUAAGGCUCUGCAUAUUCACAGCUUUCUCUUCCCUAUCUGCUAUUCCGAUUGCUAUAUUCAUCUGAUUUUUGUGGUUUGCCUCUCACCAGCAUUAAGUCCUUCUUUCUUUUUUCACCACAAACGUGCAGUACAAUCACAUUCACAAAGGCAUAACUCAUGGUUUUACCAAGGUUGGGUUGGUGGUUUUUUUCACAUUUUUUUAAAUCAGACACACCAUCUUAAGCAUCUCACCACUCCUUCCAGCCACAGCACCCAGCUCAGUUCCACUUCUAGCACAACUCUCUGAAUGGUUACACAGAGAAGGGGAUCAGUGAAUCAGGUAUUUACUGGGUUAACUUUAACCCAGGAAAGGCAACAAUUCACAGUAGUUCAUGACACUGCUGCAAUAGCAAUGGCAGUGGCAUGACUGAGAGAGCAGGAAUGAGCAGCUUGAGAUAACUUAAGCACUAACAGUAAAAGAAAUUCUUGUGAAACUAUGUGACCAAGCACUACAUCCAUGUUUUCACCAGAUUUGUGUUAUUAACUAUGUUUUCUUAAAGUAGAAAUUACACUGUAGAUCCUUCCUUGCCUCUUCAACCUUAUGUAAGGGCAGGAAGAAAGCAAGCCUUUGAAAUAUAAUCGCGUCUCUGAAAAGAAACAACAUGUUUCCCAGCUGUGGCCUUGUCUGCUGAAACCAGGUGAAAGACUUGCCCAUAAUUAACUGACAUCUGCAUAAACUGUUGAAUUCAUUUUAGCACCUUUACAGAUUAUUAUUUUUCAUGCACUGUGGGACUUACAGACUAUGUUUACUAAACCCUCCUUAUCAGGUGACAGAGAAGAGGACACUCCUGAGCUAAUGACACUGCCAAGUUGUUUCCACAAGGGAAGCUUACUGUGAAGAAAUCAAUACCCACAUCAAAAAACAUAAUACUGAAAGGGCAGAACAAAUCCUGUUGUAUUCACUGUACUUGUCAGUAACAUAAUAAAGUCCAAGUGUGUGUUAAUUAGAUACACAAAUAAGUCAACUCUAUGACUGGUCUCCAAGCUUUUUUAUUAAAUGAACUUCAUUACUUUUUUUUAAAGCCACCAUAUUCCCAUGUGGCAUUAGAGUGGACCAAUGUCAGAGGGUAGGGGAUUCAAAGUGAAGUUGUGUGCAACACCUCAACUACAUCAGGAGCAACACAACAAAAGUAUAGGGAAUAUAAUUUUUUUUUUGUG